UUGAGGCGAGGACGUAGGCAGUGGAGUUGAACCUCGUUAAAAUAUUGAGUUUGCUUCUCUCUUACCCUUACUCCUUAUAUUUACCAUUGUUUCGUAUUUUAUUCAUAUUUUAUAUUGUGCAUUUGGUUUAUAACUGUUAAUUUUUAAAUACAACCCAAUUCACCCUCCCUUGUGUUAGUCAUCUAGGCAACAUAAGGGACGUGCUGUCCUCACCCAAAACCUAGUAUAAAAGUCAAUCCCCAGGUACAAAGAACUCUCUCCAAUCUCUCUAAGUUUAAGCACAAACUACUAAAAAGAUAUACUGAUUUUGGCAUCAGAGACUUCCCAGUCACCACUAAGGUCUCCCACUCUUCGUGUUUGUUUAAGUGUGCAGGUGAAAACUCAAAGACCAGAGUUACUGGAAUCCGGUCCAAUGACGUGCGAAACACAAUGUUAAUAGAGGGUGUCGGAGGGUAAGAUUUUAGAAUGCAUAUGGCGAAGCCCUCUCAGAGUAACGAAAGGUUGUAAUCAGGAAGAAAGCCGAAACGAUGUGAUUCUUUACAUGUGAUGCCAUAUUCUUCUUCUCAGUUGAUACAACUAUAUAUAUUAUGUAUGGGAUUUACUCAGCAUUACGUGAUUAUAUUAAUCCUGCAUAACACCAAGAAUUUGAUGAAAUUAGAUGGUAUAGUUCUUCAAGUUUCGUUUUGGCAACUUCCAGAAGAAGGAAAAAAAAUAAAAGAAAAGCAAAGAAAAGACCAAAGAAGAAGAGGAAUGGUACUGAUCCAGAGAUGAAAAUGGUUAUUAUAAAAGGGCAGAGGCUGAAUGUUUUCACAAAAAGAUCUAAGAUGUAGCUUUCAGGUUUCUGCUGAACCUCUAGUCUCCAUACCAUUUUAUUAGGAGCUUGGUCGGUGCAUGGUAAUUCCUUCCAAGUUCCGAAUGCAGAAUCUCAAGAAAACAGAACGAGAAAAUGGCGCCAACAAUCACUUCACUCCUAGUCUUCACUUCGCCAUAAGAAUGAACGCCAGCCAUUCCAAGGACGAGUUCCUGACUAUAGGCAAUGGCGAAGGGGUCUUCUCAUUUUGAACAAGGAUGAGAGUACAUGCAAGUGUUCGAAUAAGGGAACUAAUCCGGUUUGCCGGGUCCUGUAUGGAAAAAAUCUGGCCCGGAUGAACCGUCUUAGUUUCUUACAAGAUUUUGGUCUCAGCAGCCUAACGCCCCUAUUCAAUGUAGGUGCCAAGAAUUAUCCAAAUUGAGGACAAGAUAAAUAGUUACUACUAUCAACGAUCCACCAAUCAAAUGAAGACGCGUGUUGCAACAACACUCCCAAUGAACUCUCUGAUCCGUAUACAAAAGCAAAUUGCAACAUAAAGGACACGAUCCUCAUCCUUUCCCCUUCUUUUAUAGGACAUUGGGCUACAACAUACACCAAAUGUUUAUAAUCAUAUGACUGAAUCGACAUUAGUUUUCAAGCUUUACUGAGAGUAUUGGAGAAGAACUAAUGCAAUGGACCAUACACAUGCCACAAUAGAAAAUU